UACGAAGGGGACUAGCGUUGUUCGGAUUUAUUGGGCGUAAAGAGCGUGUAGGCGGCCAGGUAGGUCUGCUGUGAAAACUCGAGGCUCAACCUCGAGACGUCGGCGGAAACCAUCUGGCUAGAGUCCGGAAGAGGAGAGUGGAAUUCCUGGUGUAGCGGUGAAAUGCGCAGAUAUCAGGAAGAACACCCGUGGCGAAGGCGGCUCUCUGGGACGGUACUGACGCUGAGACGCGAAAGCGUGGGGAGCGAACAGG
rnacentral:rRNA from 1 species